UUCAACACACAAGUCCAGGCCAGCAGGAGAAGAGCAAAGUACAAAGCUCUUUCCAGAUAUUUAUAUAUAAUGAACUAACUCUGAAUUGAUUCUGAACAAGAAAAGAAAACAUAAACUGCAAAGUGGGUAUGUUAUUAUGUUUGAGUUCAUCAAGCAUGCUGGUAUGAUAAUUGAAAGUGAACGCUGAAGGUUCCUUGUUCUCACAGUCACUCUCAAGCACCUGUGAGGCCACACCUUGAUUUACAACACGAAACUAUGAGUCACUGCAGGGAGGAAACGAUUCGCUGUCUGACUGAAGAACUACGUGUCCCAUGAUGCCCCGCGCUCAAGAUGAGCAAAUGGAACUCGGAGCGGAGCGGCGGCGGUGACAGCUGAGUUCGGCGAGGAGCGCGACAGAGAGCACGGACACACUCAGGACACACUCAGGACAGGACAGAAGCCGGCCGGUAAAGCAGCACUAGCGGCAGAGAUAAUUUAAUUUGAUGGGGAUACACUAAACAAGACAGUACCCUCUCCUGCACAGAUCAUCACAUGCUAACAUAACCACUGCAGC